CGAGCACUGGGUCGGCGUCGCCGGGUUCGCGCUGUUCGUCACGGCGAUGACCGGCGGGCGGCUGCUCGGCCCGGUCGUGCUCGACC
rnacentral:tRNA from 1 species